rnacentral:rRNA from 1 species
AUGAGCCCCGAGUGGGAAGACUUGUUCCCUUUAGUCGCGGUUCGUAAGCUUGUGAGAGACGUAUCUGACCACAACCCCCUGCUUUCCUCUAAUCCAACAGAGAAGGAACCUCCUCAUAGGAGAGAGUUCAGAUUUGAGUUGAGUUGGUUAAAAAAUGAGGAAUUUUAGCACAAAGCUAAAGAGAUCUGGGAACAACCUGUGUAUUCUGUAGACCCUAUUGACAUCCUGAAUAUUAAGUUGAAACGUAUUAAAAGGUACUUUAAAGGCUGGGGGUCGCAUGCUUUUGGGCAUGCUAGGAAAAGAAAGAAGUGGAUUAAACAAGAAUUGCAGAAGAUGGAGAAAGAAGAAGAUAAUGGCCCCCUGGACCCGGAAACCUACGAGAAGAGGACCAUCCUUUAUGCUGAGCUUUAUGAGAUACUUGCAGAUGAGGAGCUGUUUUGGCUACAACAUUCAAAUAAAAGGUGGCUCCUGAAAGGAGAUCAGAACACCGCUUAUUUUCAUCGGAUUGCCAAUGGCAGAAAAAGGAAGAACACUAUACAUUCUUUGGAUGAGCAUCAUAUAAGGAACUAA